rnacentral:rRNA from 1 species
CCGGAUAAUCAAGGCUGAGGUGUGAUGACGAGGCACUACGGUGCUGAAGUAACAAAUGCCCUGCUUCCAGGAAAAGCCUCUAAGCAUCAGGUAACAUCAAAUCGUACCCCAAACCGACACAGGUGGUCAGGUAGAGAAUACCAAGGCGCUUGAGAGAACUCGGGUGAAGGAACUAGGCAAAAUGGUGCCGUAACUUCGGGAGAAGGCACGCUGGUGUGUAGGUGAAGUCCCUGCGGGUGGAGCUGAGACCAGUCGAAGAUACCAGCUGGCUGCAACUGUUUAUUAAAAACACAGCACUGUGCAAACACGAAAGUGGACGUAUACGGUGUGACGCCUGCCCGGUGCCGGAAGGUUAAUUGAUGGGGUUAUCCGUAAGGAGAAGCUCUUGAUCGAAGCCCCGGUAAACGGCGGCCGUAACUAUAACGGUCCUAAGGUAGCGAAAUUCCUUGUCGGGUAAGUUCCGACCUGCACGAAUGGCGUAAUGAUGGCCAGGCUGUCUCCACCCGAGACUCAGUGAAAUUGAACUCGCUGUGAAGAUGCAGUGUACCCGCGGCAAGACGGAAAGACCCCGUGAACCUUUACUAUAGCUUGACACUGAACAUUGAGCCUUGAUGUGUAGGAUAGGUGGGAGGCUUUGAAGCGUGGACGCCAGUCUGCGUGGAGCCAACCUUGAAAUACCACCCUUUAAUGUUUGAUGUUCUAACGUUGGCCCCUGACCGGGGUUGCGGACAGUGUCUGGUGGGUAGUUUGACUGGGGCGGUCUCCUCCCAAAGCGUAACGGAGGAGCACGAAGGUUAGCUAAUCCUGGUCGGACAUCAGGAGGUUAGUGCAAUGGCAUAAGCUAGCUUGACUGCGAGCGUGACGGCGCGAGCAGGUGCGAAAGCAGGUCAUAGUGAUCCGGUGGUUCUGAAUGGAAGGGCCAUCGCUCAACGGAUAAAAGGUACUCCGGGGAUAACAGGCUGAUACCGCCCAAGAGUUCAUAUCGACGGCGGUGUUUGGCACCUCGAUGUCGGCUCAUCACAUCCUGGGGCUGAAGUAGGUCCCAAGGGUAUGGCUGUUCGCCAUUUAAAGUGGUACGCGAGCUGGGUUUAGAACGUCGUGAGACAGUUCGGUCCCUAUCUGCCGUGGGCGCUGGAGAAUUGAGGGGGGCUGCUCCUAGUACGAGAGGACCGGAGUGGACGCAUCACUGGUGUUCGGGUUGUCAUGCCAAUGGCACUGCCCGGUAGCUAAAUGCGGAAGAGAUAAGUGCUGAAAGCAUCUAAGCACGAAACUUGCCCCGAGAUGAGUUCUCCCUGAGACUAUAAGUCUCCUGAAGGAACGUUAAAGACGAUGACGUUGAUAGGCCGGGUGUGUAAGCGCAGCGAUGCGUUGAGCUAACCGGUACUAAUGAACCGUGAGGCUUAACC